GAAUAUUGGGCAAUGGGCGCAAGCCUGACCCAGCGACGCCGCGUGAGGGAUGAAGGCCUUCGGGUUGUAAACCUCUUUCAGUAGGGAAGAAGCGAAAGUGACGGUACCUAAAGAAGAAGCACCGGCUAACUAUGUGCCAGCAGCCGCGGUAAUACAUAGGGUGCAAGCGUUGUCCGGAAUUAUUGGGCGUAAAGAGCUCGUAGAUCGUUUGUCGCGUCGAUUGUGAAAAUCUGAGGCUCAACCUCAGACCUGCAGUCGAUACGGGCAAACUAGAGUGUGGUAGGGGAGACUGGAAUUCCUGGUGUAGCGGUGGAAUGCGCAGAUAUCAGGAGGAACACCAAUGGCGAAGGCAGGUCUCUGGGCCAUAACUGACACUGAGGAGCGAAAGUGCGGGGAGCGAACAGGAUUAGAUACCCCUGUAGUC
rnacentral:rRNA from 1 species